GAGAGACAGAGUGAGUGAGUGAGAGAGAGAGAAUGUAAGCACAGAAGAAGCACAAGCAGCAACAGCAGCAGCAUCAGGAAGACACUUCGAGCAAAGACAGCCAUCAAUGGAGGCUCCACUCAGGCAGCUCAAGUGAAUAUGCCAGCAUCCUGAGGCUGUGGCGACUGCUCAAAGACACUGUGGAAUAUGUAAGAUACCAGGGAACCACCAUGGGCGCUCUGCAGCAGACCUGAACAAGUCAGUGAUGAUGGAAGGGGCUGAAUGGAUCAGAUCCAGAAACAAAGGAAUACACAGGUCAGGAGAGAAACAAGUAAGGCAACAGACUCUUUAUUUAAUGUGGUUUAAAAUACAUCAAAAUCAAGUCCCUGGCUGUUGUGAAUACCCAAAGGAGACAAAAAAGCUGCCAGUGCAGCUUCAAACAAGUCUGAGUGGCCGGGCUGGGCCAUAAGGAAAGCAGUUACAGGGACAGAAGGCAGCUCCCUUCCCCCAGGAAGGGCAAGAGGAGCAGGUGCCUGGCUGUCCCUGGGGUGACCACCUCUGUGCUGUGCAAGGCGGAAAGGCUGGGGCAGCAGCUGGAGAAUCAGCUCAGCAGGCCUUGGCCCUCCCCCGUGGACACCAGGCAGCUCCACUGGCCUCCGGGUCAGCCCUCAGGGCCACCGUGAUGGGGUGGAGGAGGGUUAAAUAACCAUCUUUACAGAAAUAACAGUCUCCUACAGAAAGUGCCUGAGCUCAGCCCAUGGUCCGAUAACCUCAUGGAAAACAAACAACAAAUAAAAAAAAAAAGUGCUGCUGACACCUCUCAGAAUCUGGUGGACAUGAAGCUCUCAGCUGGACAAGGCCCUGAAAACAAUUUACUAUUAGCAGAGCCAUGCGCUCUUGAGCUUCACCUGCUGUGGUCCCCUGGAGGAAAAGCUAGCAAUCUAAGAAACCAACACAGAUCUUGGUCCUAAAACUGAGGUCACAAGUGUGGGACCCACCCAGGUGAGGAAGACACUGGCCUUCACUCAUGGAUAGGCACCUCCCCUGCAUCUGGCCCAGGACCUGGGCUACUUUGGAAAGCAGAAGCAGAGCAGCUGUAGUGAUUGGUUGAUUUGGUCAAUGAAGAGAAGAAAAAGGUAGGGAACCUCAUCUGCAGACUGGCCUGAAGGUCUAGACAUGGAUGGAGCUGUGAGCAAAGGCUGCACCUUGCCUGGGGCCCACAUUCCUGACCUGGGAAACCCAGCUGGGGCCACCUGCUCACUGUGGCCUCCUACACCACCACACUGGGAUCCAGCAGCUCCAGUCCCUCCACAGGCAUUAAGAGGUAGCUGAAGUGUGAGUCAGGCAAUUAUGUGGGCCACUGUAGGCCUUUCCCCUCUCUUCAAGGGGGAAGGUGCAUACCUCUGCCUCUUCCCUGCACCUCUCUCGCCUAGCAAACACUCUGUGAGGUUGGCAGCUCUUGUACCAGCUUAGCCUGGCACAGGGGCUGGGGUAGGGAAAAGGCCCUACUGGAGCAGGAAGAGGCAAGGACUACUCCAGACAGAGGGAUUCAAAGGGGAAGAAAAAGGUCAUGGGAAACACUUCACAGGACAGCAGUAUCUCAGCCAGAGAUGGCAGAGAUCUCAACACUCACACAGCUGCUUGAGGGCACCUAGAUGUGAAGGAUACACCAGAGAAUAGCAGGCAACUCUGAUGCAGAUCAGUGGUACCUGCCCUGGGGCAGGAGAAGGAGAAAUGGUGUGCCAUUCAUUUGCCAUCUCUGGUCUCAGUCACACAUGAUUCAGUACUUAACAUUCUUUGUGAACCAACUUAUCUGAGAGAUUUAAGGUAAGGGCUAAAAGAGUGGGCUAGGUAUGGAAGAUGAAGGGACCUGCAGGACAAUGAACUAGCUUCAAAGAAAAACAGCAAGAAGCAAAGCCCUAACCAUCCUAUCCAUCUUGGUCUGAGUCAUUCUGUUGUCCCAGAAAACUGCUUGGCACAAACACUGGCUAAUACCCUGGCAAGUUUGCAACAGCAGAACAUUCAGCAUAUAGAAUGGCUCUACACAGUACAUAGUAGUUAUGUACUGGAGUGGGGGUAGAACAGGACACAGAAACAACUGUCUGCAGCCAUUUUAUGGAUUUCUGGGGCCCAGUCAAUAGUUCAAUUUCAUUUCUUACCUGUUAGACAACAGCUAUGGGCUCCCACACAGGAAGAAGUAGAAUCCCCAAGGACAGGCAGGGAGGUGCCAGGAAAUAGAAUCAGGACAAAUCUUGAGGAUUGCACAUGUGGGGGUGGGGGCAGGAAGCAGAAAAACCCAUGAAGCCAAAGAGGCAGCUGGACAUGGGACCCAGCAACUGCUGCAUGGAGACAGUGCUGAUGGGAACUGGUGGUGGCCUCUCAGGACUGAAACCCACAGGUAAGCUUGUGGCAAAGCCAUCAGAAGCCCUUUCCUUUCUUUUACCACAAACAACCUGAUCUCACCAAACAGGAAACCUCAGCAUCAAGAUGGCAAAGGAGCCAAGUGGGGUGGUGAAGGAGGUGGGACACUGGAGGCCAGGCACCCAGGCACCACUGCUACAGCAUCCCUCUUCCUUGGAAGGUCCUCAAUACAAACACUGUCAUGUGCAAAAAAAAAAGAAAAAGAAAAAAAAAAAAAAAGAAAAAGAAAUAAAGAAAAAAACACCUUCAGAAAUAAUCCUUUGGGUGAUCUCUUGUCAAUCAUUUGUGCAGGCUAGAGAGGCACCUGUGAAUGAUAAGGCUACUGAGAAGCAUCAUUGGCCUGGUCCUGGCACUACCAAAGGGCAGGGGAAGCGAUGCCCAAGGGGCUCCUGACCAGCACAUCAUCCCACGCAAAAACAUUCUCCAGGUCCCUUGUUCCAGGCAGGAAAUCCCCAGCUCUGAGCGCCCUGCCAGGGCUCUGCCUAGGGACACCUUUUCCAGGUCUAGAGAAUCAAAGGAGCCUCCAGAGCAGCUAGGAGGGCCUGAGCUGACCAAGCAAGCCCUGCUCACAAGACAAAUGCAGUCAAGACCUGGGUGUAUUACUUGUCUUGAGCUCUGAAGGGCAGGGAGGGGUCUGAGCCUCAAAUCAGACAGAGAAAUGCUCAAGUCACUUCUGCCAACUCACUGUGAUGGCAGCUACAGAUGACAGCCCCUCUCAAGACUCUUCAGCUCACAGACAAGCCACUGACUUCAUCUGUACACACCCCCAUCCCCAAUGCAAGCCCACUGUACACUUACAGGUAUAAAUGCAUUUGCAAGGCCUUGCAAAAUGCCCUAUGUACGUAAAACUGACCCACAAAAUCCAAAAUUGCAAGUGCCAGAUGCCAGCCAGGUCAGAACAUCCUGGCUUCAGCAAUGGGCUGCUCAGCAUGGGAGCCUUUUAUGGGCCAGGCCUGGCUGGGCUGCCGCUCCCUUCCCAGCAUGACCCAACACCAGGCUCUCUAGGCCCUGGCGGAGGUGGGCUCUUGAGGCCCAGUCUGGCCUGAUGCUUCUGUGCUCGGUGCUCCUGGGUAGCAAGGCGCUUCUGUGACCCUGGGGGAGCUGGGUGCUUGAGCCCCAGGCCCCUCUGGCCUCCUCUCAGGGCCACUGUCAGUGAGGGAGCCCUGGCCACCAGCACUCAGGUCCUGUACCCUCUUGUUCAGGUCAUUGCGCUCUGUCUGCAGUGCCCGGCACAGCUUCUCCAGCCGUUGGAUUUUUACCUGCAGGCCCUCCAGUUCUUUAUCCCGGACUGUUUUCUAGGGAAAGAAAUGAGACCUUCAGUGCCGUGCCCCAUCAACCUCCCACUUACCAUCACCACUUGGCGGCAAACACUUUAACAAGGCUGAGAGCAGACCGAGUCCAAAGCUGGCCCCCUCUAGGAAACAGUCCUAGUUGAAGCCAUGACUAGGCUGUCAGGUGGGGCAGCAUGGUGCAGAAAAGGGGCACGGCUUGGAGAUAACGUAUUCCUCCAUUUAUCUACCACGUGACCUUGGCAAAGGACUUGACUUUUGAGCCUGUCUCAUCUAUAAAACAGGACUACUAAUACCAUCCUCAGAGCUCAAGAGAAGGUUCAAUGAACAACGUACCUAAAAACAUUCAGCAGCAAAAAAGACAAAAAAAACCCAAAAACUUUCAGCAAGGUCUGGCUUGCAGUUGCUGCUCCAUCGUUAGUUCCUUUCUUCUACAUUACAAGCUGUGAAAUCACAAACUACCUGGGCUGCUUUACAUGUAAACCAGGCACAUCACUGGCACCCGUUUUUUUCUGCUCUUUUAUUCCUUUCUUCCAUUUGCUCCCUUCACUCCCACUGGAGACCUACCACUGGGCUCACCACCUCCCAUGGGGAGAGAACAGCAUUAACUUUGGACUUGGACAUUGUGUGCAAAUCUCACCUCUACCUCAUGCUAGCUGUGUCACUGAUGGGUAGAACAUACAGGAAAGGGCCUGAUAUGCGCUAAGUGCACACCCCCACCCUGGCUGCAGAUCACAGACAGCCCACCUCCUCAGCCAUCUCAAGCAGGGCCUUGUUGCUGCUCUCCCACCGGGACCGGUACAUGGUGGUUUCUUUCUCCAGCUUCUUGAUCUUCUUAGUCAUCUAGGUUAUGUGACAGACAGAAGGAAAUGGUCAGAGCUGGCCUCUCCAAGGUCUGUGUCUCCAAGGUGGGGACUGCACCUGUGUCUCCAAGGUGGGGAAUGAUUGAUCCCAAGGCGCAAGGCAUUACAGGAUGCAGUCAAUGCCCUCUGUGCCACCUCACCACCAGGAAGUCAGAGGUGUCCACCACCAAUAACAAGGAAUGGUAAGGGGCCAGGCAUGGUGGCUCACGCCUAUAAUCCCAGCACUUUGGGAGGCCAAGGCGGGCAGAUCACUUGAGGCCAAGAGUUCGAGACCAGCCUGGCCAACAUGGUGAAACCCCGUCUCUACUAAAAAUACAAAAAAAAAAGAAAGAAAAAAUUAGCCAGGCAUGGUGGCACGCGCCUGUAAUUCCAGCUAGUCAGGAGGCUGAGGCAGGAGAAUCACUUGAACCCGGGGGGCAAAGGCUGCAAUGAGCUGAGAUCAUGCCACUGCACUCCAGCCUGGGCAAUAGGUGAGUCUCCAUCUCAAACAACAACAACAACAACAACAACAACAACAAACCCCCCAAAAAAACCAAACAAACAGAAAAGACUGCCCCAUUCCCUGGGACAACCUGGAGUGUAUACAUACCACUGAUACUGCCUCAAGAGGGGAAAGGCUGUGAACCUUCCUAACAGCCCUGCCCUUGAGACACCCCAGAUGGGAGCUUCCUGAAGGCAGGCCCAACAAUUUUGAAUGAAGCAGCUUAUGCCCCAGCAGCCAUGCCUGGCCUGGACCACAGUUACCUUUUCCAUCUCCUGCUUGAAUGUGGUGAAUACCUCGCUGCUUUUGGAAAGUGUGUUCUGGAACUCCUCAAACUUCUCUGUGUAUAGGGCAAGCUGUGGG
rnacentral:lncRNA from 1 species